rnacentral:piRNA from 1 species
UAGUUUGACAGUUAGCUCAUCGGGCCUA